AUUGAACGCUGGCGGCAGGCCUAACACAUGCAAGUCGAGCGGGGUUUUCGGACCUAGCGGCGGACGGGUGAGUAAUGCGUAGGAAGCUACCCGAUAGAGGGGGAUACCAGUUGGAAACGACUGUUAAUACCGCAUAAUGUCUACGGACCAAAGUGUGGGACCUUCGGGCCACAUGCUAUCGGAUGCGCCUACGUGGGAUUAGCUAGUUGGUGAGGUAAUGGCUCACCAAGGCGACGAUCCCUAGCUGGUUUGAGAGAAUGAUCAGCCACACUGGAACUGAGACACGUUCCAGACUCCUACGGGAGGCAGCAGUGGGGAAUAUUGGACAAUGGGCGCAAGCCUGAUCCAGCCAUGCCGCGUGUGUGAAGAAGGCCUUCGGGUUGUAAAGCACUUUCAGUAGGGAGGAAGCGUUGUGUGUUAAUAGUACACAGCGUUGACGUUACCUACAGAAGAAGCACCGGCUAACUCUGUGCCAGCCGCCGCGGUAAAAC
rnacentral:rRNA from 1 species